UUAGCGGCGAACGGGUGUAGUAACACGUAAGGGAAUCUACCUAUAAGCGGGGGAUAACAUUCGGAAACGGGUGCUAAUACCGCAUAAUAUCUUCUUCCGCAUGGAAGAAGAUUGAAAGACGGCUCUGCUGUCACUUAUAGAUGACCUUGCGGUGCAUUAGUUAGUUGGUGGGGUAACGGCCUACCAAGACGAUGAUGCAUAGCCGACCUGAGAGGGUGAUCGG
rnacentral:rRNA from 1 species